rnacentral:rRNA from 1 species
AGGACGAACGCUGGCGGCGUGCUUAACACAUGCAAGUCGAGCGAAGCUCCUGCCUUCGGGUGGGAAGACUUAGCGGCGAACGGGUGAGUAACACGUGGGCAACCUGCCCUUAGCUCUGGGAUAAGCGAUGGAAACGUCGUCUAGUACUGGAUAUGACACUGGGACGCAUGUUCUUGGUGUGGAAAGUAUUUUUUGGCUAAGGAUGGGCCCGCGGCCUAUCAGCUUGUUGGUGGGUAAUGGCCUACCAAGGCGGCGAC